rnacentral:rRNA from 1 species
CUACGGGGGGCUGCAGUGGGGAAUAUUGGACAAUGGGGGGAACCCUGAUCCAGCCAUGCCGCGUGUGUGAAGAAGGCCCUCGGGUUGUAAAGCACUUUCAGUGAGGAAGAACGCCUGGUGGUUAAUACCCAUCAGGAAAGACAUCACUCACAGAAGAAGCACCGGCUAACUCCGUGCCAGCAGCCGCGGUAAUACGGAGGGUGCGAGCGUUAAUCGGAAUUACUGGGCGUAAAGCGCGCGUAGGUGGCUUGAUAAGCCGGUUGUGAAAGCCCCGGGCUCAACCUGGGAACGGCAUCCGGAACUGUCAAGCUAGAGUGCAGGAGAGGAAGGUAGAAUUCCCGGUGUAGCGGUGAAAUGCGUAGAGAUCGGGAGGAAUACCAGUGGCGAAGGCGGCCUUCUGGACUGACACUGACACUGAGGUGCGAAAGCGUGGGUAGCAAACAGGAUUAGAUACCCCAGUAGUC